CUUUUCUAGGGCCACUCCCUUGGCAUAUGGAGGUUCCCAGCUAGGGAUCUAAUCGGAGCUGUAGCCCCCAGCCUACACCACAGCAAUGCCAGAUCCGAGACGCACCUGCAACCUACACCACAGCACAUGGCAACGCCAAAUCCUUAACCCACUGAGCAAGGCCAGGGAUCGAACCCGCAACCUCAUGGUUCCUAGUCGGAUUCGUUAACCACUGUGCCUCAACGGGAACUCCUGUCAAAUGAUUUUCAACCAAGAUGCCAAGUCAAUCUAAUGGGAGAAGGAAAAAAAUUUUUUUGUCUUUUUAGGGCUGCACCCACAGCAUAUGGAGGUUCCCAGGUUAGGGGUUCCCACAGCUCACAGCAACACUGAAUCCUUAACCUACUGAGAAAGGCUAGGGAUCGAACCUGCGUCCUCAUGGAUGCUAGUCAGAUUCUUUUCCACUGAGCCAUGACAGGAACUCCAAAAAAAUCAUGUUUUUAAAUGACUGUACCCACAGCAUAUGGAAGUUCCCGGGCCAGGGAUCGACUGCCAUAGCUGUGGCAACACUGGAUUCCAUAGCUCACUGUGCUAAGGAUUGAACCUGCACCUCUAUAGCCACCCGGGCCACUCCAGUAAGAUUCUGAACCCAGUGAGCCACAGGGGGAUAUCCAGGAGAUUAUUUUUAAACAAAUGUUGCUGCAACAACUGAAUAUCCAUGUUGAAAUAAAACUCGUUCUAUGCAAAUAAUUAAUUUGAGGUGCAUCAUAUACCUAGAUAUAAAACUCCAAAAACUCCAAACCAUAGAUGAAAAACCUAAAACCAGUGAGAUGGAUCAAGACUAUUUAUGAUCAAUCAUAAACAUAAAACCCCAAACCAUAAAACUUCUAGAAGAAAAUGUGUUUUUUGUGAGCUUGGGGUCUAAAAUCAUAAACAAAAAACUUGAUAAAGUGGUCUUUAUCAAAACAAAAAUUUCUGCUCAUCAAAAUAUCCCAGUAAGAAAGUGAACAGACAAAUCAGAGCCUAUAAAAAAAAAUCACAGCAUAUAUACCCACCAAAGGACUUGUAUCCAGAAUACACACAAUAACCAUAAUAAAAAGAUAAUUCAAUUUUAAAAUUGGAAAAGACACAAAAGAUAUUUCAUAAAAGAUUAAAAUAAGCAUAUGAAAAGUGCACAACACCAUUAAUCAUCAGGGAAACGUAAAUUAAAAUUAUAGUUAUUUCAUACCCAAUAAAAUGGCCAAUAUAAAAAACACUGACUACAGUAAAUGUUGACAAAGAUAUGAAGCAACUGGAACUCUCAUACACCACUGAUGAGAUUUCUUAAAAAGUUAUCACAUAACUCAGCAAUUUUCUAUUCUUAGGUAUUUAUCCAAAAAAAAUGAAAACACAUAUCCACAAAACAAAGACUUAAGAAUAUACAUAGCAGCCUUAUUCAUAAUUGCCCCAAUUAAAACCUUGAAGUCUAAUCAGUAGGAGAAUGGAUUAAAAAAACCUGUGGUAUAUGUAUAUAUUUAUGUAUAUAUAUACAUCAAAUACUACUCAGAAAUAAAGAAUAAUUUACUGAUACAUACAAUAUGGAUGAGUCGUUAAAGUAUUGUAAGUGAAAGAAGCCAGAUGCAAGAGUUCAUGUUAUAUAAUUCUAAUUAUAUAAGUCCAAAGGUAGGCAAGAUAAAUCUUUAGGGAGAUCACAAAUGAUCUUUGGAGUAGGGAAGGGAGCAGGGAUAAUUUGAAAGAUGCACAAGAGAACUUUCUGGAUUAAUAGUAAUGUUCUAUAGCUUCUUUUGCAUUAUCUCACAACAUGUACAAUUGUUGAAACAUCAAUCUGAACACUUAAGAUGGGUGCAAUUUUUGAUUUCUAUCAACUUAAAGGUGAGUAGAGGAUACCUAUUCUAGUAGAAGCAUCUGUCCCCAACCCUUUACUGACCUAUUCUGUUCUCCUAAGUGUCAUCUUUGGGCUUUAAUCUGAUUAGGGCUAGGCUCUUGACUAUAGGAUUUAUCUUAAAGGGCACACAAUCUGGUAUCCCUAAAAAGUAGCAUUUGGAACCUGUGAAGCAAUUCUGUGGAACCAAUAGUUUAUUUCCAUUGAUUAGAGGGCAACCACUGACCACUGUAAAGCACUGACUUGCACUAAUGUGCUUUUUGUUUUGUUUUCUGGCUGCGCCUAGAGCAUGCAGUAGUUCCCAGGCCAGGGAUCAAAUCUGUGCCACAGCAAUGACCCAGGCUGCUGCAAUGACAAUGCUAGAUCCUUAACUCGCUGCACCAAGGGAACUCCUGUACUAAUGUGAUUUUAACAUGAAUAGUUUGUAAAAGACUUAAUUUACUCUAUUGAAAGAUAGUCAAGAAUUAAUGGAGUAAAAUUUAAUUCUUCAAAAGCAAGUACAACAACACUAUUACUCUUCAUUAAACUCAUUCUCUGGUAUUUGUUGCUGUGACGUGUAAGCUAGUCACAGGAUUUUUGGAUACAUACUAUUUCCUAUCCAAAUCAAGUAGACA
rnacentral:lncRNA from 1 species